rnacentral:lncRNA from 1 species
UCUUCCUAUGGGAAAAUAUUUUUUCAAAAAUUCAUGUUGCAUUUGAGCCCAUGAAAGAAUGGAAUUGGCUUCUAAUGAAUGGAGCCACUGCUUAGCUCUAACCUUAAGGGAGAAAGGAAACAGCCUAAGUUUCAGAACAUCAUCAGUGAAGUUCUGAAUUUUGACAGUAGUGCAGAUCUCAAGAAACUCAUCUAAAUGUUUGUAUGGGUCUUCAUUGUUAAGUCCAUAAAAAGAGGGAAGCAUUUGGAUGACACUAGACUUAAUUUCAAACUGUACAGCAGCAGUGGUAUCAGGUAGUCGAAUACAAAAU